rnacentral:rRNA from 1 species
UUUGGUUAAGUUAUUAAGGGCAUACGGUGGAUGCCUUGGUACGAGAAGUCGAUGAAGGACGCGAUUACCUGCGAUAAGCCUCGGAUAGGUGGAAAUAACCUAAUACCCGGGGAUUUCCUAAUGGGGCAACCCGUCAUGAGUAAUGUCAUGACAUCUUCACCUGAAUACAUAGGGUGUAUGAAGACAACCCGGGGAACUGAAACAUCUCAGUACCCGGAGGAAGAGAAAACAAUAGUGAUUUCCUUAGUAGCGGCGAGCGAAAAGGAAACAGUCUAAACCUUCUAACAUGUUAAAGGAAGCAACCGUUGUGUUAGAGGUGUUGUGGGAUAUAUUCUGGCUGAAUUGCUAAUAAGUCGGAGAGUAAAAAAUUAUACUAUUAACUAAAUGUUCUGGAAAGUUCAACCAUAGAAGGUGAUAGUCCUGUAAGUGAAAAUAGUAUAACUCUCUGGGAUGUAUUCCCAAGUAUCACGGAGUAAGUGGAAGUCUGUGAAAAUCCGGGAGAACCAUCUCCUAAGACUAAAUACUCUCUCGUAACCGAUAGUGAAUCAGUACCGUGAGGGAAAGGUGAAAAGAACUCCUAGUAGGAGAGUGAAAUAGUACCUGAAACCGUAUGCUUACAAACGGUUGGAGUCCCGAUUUAUCGGGAUGACAGCGUGCCUUCUGGAUAAUGAGCCAACGAGUUACUCGUGUGUGGCAAGGUUAAAGGCUUUAGGCCAGUAGCCAUAGCGAAAGCGAGUCCUAAAUGGGCGUUUUAGUUACAUGCGGUAGACGCGAAACCGAGUGAUCUACCCUUGUCCAGGAUGAAGUGAGGGUAAAACCUCAUGGAGGUCCGAACUAGUGUGGGUUGAAAACCGCUUGGAUGAGGUAAGGGUAGGAGCGAAAGACCAAUCAAACUCGGAAAUAGCUCGUAUUCCUCGAAAUAGCUUUAGGGCUAGCCUCGAGUAUAUAGUGUAACGGAGGUAGAGCACUGAUUGGGCUAGGGCUGUCACAACGGUACCAAACCCAGACAAACUCCGAAUUCCGUUUACAUGUUUCUCGGGAGUCAGGCAGUGGGGGAUAAGCUUCAUUGCCAAAAGGGAAACAACCCAGACCAACAACUAAGGUCCCUAAAUAGUAGUUAACAGAGAAAGGAUGUUCAAUUGCUCAGACAACUAGGAUGUUGGCUUAGAAGCAGCCAUUCAUUUAAAGAGUGCGUAAUAGCUCACUAGUCAAGCGAUCGAGCGUCGACAAUUUCCGGGACUUAAACUACUUACCGACGUUAUGGUCCCGCCUAUGGCGGGAGGUAGAGGAACAUUCUAUAUGCAUUGAAGGUGUGUUGCGAGACAUGCUGGAGUUUAUAGAAAAGCAAAUGUUGGCAUAAGUAACGAUAAGAUCGAUGAAAAAUCGAUCCACCGAAAAUCUAAGGUUUCCUGAGCAAUGUUAGUCAUCUCAGGGUUAGUCGAUUCCUAAGCCGAGGCUGAAAGGCGUAGGCGAUGGAAAACAGGUUAAUAUUCCUGUACCUGGUAAAUUUCGUUUGAACAUAAGGAGUGACGCAGGAGUGAAGGUUAGCCACCUGUUGGAUUAGGUGGUCUAAGCGUGUAGGUUUGAGAUGCAGGCAAAUCCGCAUCUCUUUAAGACCGAGACGUGAACGGGAUGGCUUUGCCAAUAAACUAACCGUAAUCAUACUGCCGAGAAAAACUUCGUAUGUAAGAAAUUUAUCAGAUCGUACCGUAAACCGACACAGGUAGAUGGGAAGAGUAUUCUUAGGUGCUCGAGUGAGCCGUGGUUAAGGAACUCGGCAAAUUAACCCCGUAACUUCGGGAAAAGGGGUGCCCCUAGUAAGUGAAAUCCUUGCGGAUGUAGCUGAAUGGGGCCGCAGUGAAAAGGCCCAAGCGACUGUUUAACAAAAACACAUGUCUCUGCGAAGUCAAUCAAGACGAUGUAUAGGGACUGACACCUGCCCGGUGCUGGAAGGUUAAGAGGAGAUGUCAUCGCAAGAGAAGCAUUGAAUCGAAGCCCCAGUAAACGGCGGCCGUAACUAUAACGGUCCUAAGGUAGCGAAAUUCCUUGUCG